rnacentral:pre_miRNA from 1 species
CAUAUACUCCCUCCGUCCUAAAAUUCUUGUCUUCAAUUUAUCUAAAUAUGAAUGUAUCUAGUCACGUUUUAGUAUUUAGAUACAUCCAUUUCUAGAUAAAUUUAAGACAAAAGUUUUGGGACGGACGGAGUACCUA